GCCAAUGCAGCACGAAUGGUGGUGCACCGGAUUCGUAACCCGGAGGAGGGAGUUCGAUUCUCCCCGUUGGCU
rnacentral:tRNA from 1 species